GACGAACGCUGGCGGCGUGCUUAACACAUGCAAGUCGAGCGGUAAGGCCCUUUCGGGGGUACACGAGCGGCGAACGGGUGAGUAACACGUGGGUGACCUGCCUUUAGCUCUGGGAUAAGCCUGGGAAACUGGGUCUAAUACCGGAUACGACUCCGCGGUGCAUGCUGUGGGGUGGAAAGCCUUGUGCGGCUGGAGAUGGGCCCGCGGCCUAUCAGCUUGUUGGUGGGGUGAUGGCCUACCAAGGCGACGACGGGUAGCCGGCCUGAGAGGGCGACCGGCCACACUGGGACUGAGACACGGCCCAGACUCCUACGGGAGGCGGCAGUGGGGAAUCUUGCGCAAUGGGCGAAAGCCUGACGCAGCGACGCCGCGUGAGGGAUGACGGCCU
rnacentral:rRNA from 1 species